rnacentral:lncRNA from 10 species
UCUCUAUUAUGGGUCAGGCACUGUUCCAGGCACCAAGGAUAUGUUGAUGAAGAAGACAUUAUAGUCACUGUGAGAUGGACUUAAAAAGAUAAGGAAGUUGGUUCUACUCCUGUUCUCUUCUUUGGCGACACUUAAUACCCAAAGAAAAUUUCUACUAUCCAUCAACUAGGAUAAGGAGACAUUUUAGUAAUGAUUUGUGAAUUAUGUUACUGUACAUCAGGAAUGGUUUUCAAAAUAUGUAACACCUGGUAUGAUGUAGAUGCCAACUCAUCGGAACAGACUCUGGUUAUAAAAGCAGAUCGGUUCGUUCCUACCAGUGCAAGCCAGCUUAAUAUCUCUUGUGGUACAGUUCAAAGACAUCUCCCAGGACAGGCAAUAACAAAUGCUUGAGAGGAUGUGGAGAAAAGGGACCCCUCCACAUUGGGACCACUGCUGUUGAGAAUGUAAUUAAUUACAACCACUAUGGAGUACAGUUUGGAGGUUCCUCAAAAAAACUAAAAAUGGAGCUGCCAUAUGAUACAGCAAUUCCAGUGCUUGAUAUAUACCCAGAAGAAAAAGAAAUCAGUGUGCCGAAGCAAUAUCUGCACUCCUGUGUUUGUUGCAGCACUGUUCACAAUAGGUAAGAUUUGGAGACAGCCUAAAUGUCCAUCCACAGAUGUAUGGAUAUAUUUUUGUUUUAUUCUUAAUAUAUUAAAAUAGAUCAGGAAACAU